UGCUACCGAGUGAAACGGAAUUAUCACGACAGGCUCAUACCCUGUAAAUAGCGAGUUCGACUCUCGUGGGAGCAACCA
rnacentral:tRNA from 1 species